rnacentral:rRNA from 1 species
GAAAGGCGGGCUAAACCCGCGUACAUGCCACCGGGGCAUCCCGGAGGCAGGAAAGGCUUCGGCCGGACAGGGAUGGGCAUGCGGCGCAUUAGGCAGUAGGCGGGGUAACGGCCCACCUAACCGACGAUGCGUAGGGGUUCUGAGAGGAAGGUCCCCCACACUGGUACUGAGACACGGACCAGACUCCUACGGGAGGCAGCAGUGAGGAAUAUUGGUCAAUGGUCGGGAGACUGAACCAGCCAAGCCGCGUGAGGGAGGAAGGUACAGAGUAUCGUAAACCUCUUUUGUCAGGGAACAAAGACUGGGACGCGUCCCCGGAUGAGUGUACCCGAAGAAAAAGCAUCGGCUAACUCCGUGCCAGCAGCCGCGGUAAUACGGAGGAUGCGAGCGUUAUCCGGAUUUAUUGGGUUUAAAGGGUGCGCAGGCGGUCUGUUAAGUCAGCGGUCAAAGCCCGGGGCUCAACCCCGGCCCGCCGUUGAAACUGGCAGUCUCGAGUUGGAGAGAAGUAUGCGGAAUGCGCGGUGUAGCGGUGAAAUGCAUAGAUAUCGCGCAGAACUCCGAUUGCGAAGGCAGCAUGCCGGCUCCACACUGACGCUGAGGCACGAAAGCGUGGGUAUCGAACAGGAUUAGAUACCCUGGUAGUCC